rnacentral:rRNA from 1 species
GACGAACGCUGGCGGCGUGCUUAACACAUGCAAGUCGAACGAUGACGCCCGAGCUUGCUCGGUCUGAUUAGUGGCGAACGGGUGAGUAACACGUGAGCAACCUGCCCUUCACUCUGGGAUAACCUCGGGAAAUCGGGGCUAAUACCGGAUAUGAGCUCCUGCCGCAUGGCGGGGGUUGGAAAGUUUUUCGGUGUAGGAUGGGCUCGCGGCCUAUCAGUUUGUUGGUGGGGUAGUGGCUUACCAAGGCGAUGACGGGUAGCCGGCCUGAGAGGGCGACCGGCCACACUGGGACUGAGAUACGGCCCAGACUCCUACGGGAGGCAGCAGUGGGGAAUAUUGCACAAUGGGCGGAAGCCUGAUGCAGCGACGCCGCGUGAGGGAUGACGGCCUUCGGGUUGUAAACCUCUUUCGGCAGGGAAGAAGCGAAAGUGACGGUACCUGCAGAAGAAGCGCCGGCUAACUACGUG